GGGCCCGUAGCUCAGCUGGAUAGAGUACCUGGCUACGAACCAGGUGGUCGGGAGUUCGAAUCUCUCCGGGCCCACCA
rnacentral:tRNA from 1 species